rnacentral:rRNA from 1 species
UACGUAGGUGGCAAGCGUUGUUCGGAAUCACUGGGCUUAAAGGGCGCGUAGGCGGGCUGCCGCGUCCGGGGUGAAAUCCCACGGCUCAACCGUGGAACGGCCCCGGGUACGGGCGGCCUCGAGGAAGGUAGGGGCGUGCGGAACUGUGGGUGGAGCGGUGAAAUGCGUUGAGAUCCACAGGAACUCCGGUGGCGAAGGCGGCACGCUGGACCUUUUCUGACGCUGAGGCGCGAAAGCCAGGGGAGCGAACGGG